GAUGACUCCUGCAGCAACCAAUCCAGCAAAUCGUCGACUGAUUAGGCCACAUGGGGAUUGGCAGUGGGACGAUAUUUGUUGGGAGGGAAAAAAUAGGUUAAGACCUGUGAAUGCAACAUUGGGAACACUUUGUCGGUUUCACUACCCAGGAAUGGUCACAGUUGGAGGUGUGCUUCAGCCUGCAUUGAAGUGGGAGCAUUAUAAGCUGCAAUCGGAUGACCAGGGCGUCACGACGGCAGCGAGAGUUUGGAAUGACUUUUGGGAGAGGUAUCGUUUGCCGGAGGAGGAGGAGCAGUGCCUACAAGAUAGGGCUCGUUCUGUGUUUGACAAGGCAGCGACGAAGGUGGUGAGGGACAUGAUGUCCAAUGCU